rnacentral:rRNA from 1 species
CUACGGGAGGCUCCAGUGAGGAAUAUUGCACAAUGGGGGAAACCCUGAUGCAGCAACGCCGCGUGGAGGAUGACGCAUUUCGGUGUGUAAACUCCUUUUAUCAGAGAAGAAAAUGACGGUAUCUGAUGAAUAAGCUCCGGCUAACUCCGUGCCAGCAGCCGCGGUAAUACGGAGGGAGCAAGCGUUAUUCGGAAUCACUGGGCGUAAAGGACGCGUAGGCGGGUUUUUAAGUCAGGUGUGAAAUCCUAUGGCUCAACCAUAGAACUGCACCUGAAACUGGGGACCUAGAGUAUGGAAGGGGCAGGUGGAAUUAGUGGUGUAGGGGUAAAAUCCGUAGAUAUCACUAGGAAUACCGAAAGCGAAGGCGACCUACUGGAACAUUACUGACGCUGAGGCAUGAAAGCGUAGGAAGCAAACAGGAUUAGAUACCCCCGUAGUC